GUCGGGUGCGAUGGUGUGCGCCUGUAGGCCCAGCUACGCAGGAGGCUAAGGCUGGAGGAUCGCUCAAGUCUAGGAGUUCUGGACUGUAGUGCGCUAUGCCGAUCAGGUGUCCACACUAAGCUCGGCAUCAAUAUGGUGACCUCCGGAAGCGGGGAACCACCAGGCUGCCUAAAUAGGGGGAAACCGGCACAGAUCAGAAAUGGAACAGGUCACAACUCCUGUGCUGAUUAGUAAAAAGAUCUAUUAUAAUCCAACUUUAGCAGGCGAGCCUAAAUUUCAAAUACUCUAAUCUGCU
rnacentral:SRP_RNA from 1 species